AGUGGCGGACGGGUGAGUAACGCGUGGGCAACCUGCCCCAUACAGGGGGAUAACAGUUAGAAAUGACUGCUAACACCGCAUAAGCGCACAGGGCCGCAUGGCCCGGUGUGAAAAACUCCGGUGGUAUGGGAUGGGCCCGCGUCUGAUUAGCCAGUUGGCGGGGUAACGGCCCACCAAAGCGACGAUCAGUAGCCGACCUGAGAGGGUGACCGGCCACAUUGGGACUGAGACACGGCCCAAACUCCUACGGGAGGCAGCAG
rnacentral:rRNA from 1 species